AUUGAACGCUGGCGGUAUGCUUUACACAUGCAAGUCGAACGGAGGUAGCAAUACCUUAGUGGUGAACGGGUGAGUAAUAUAUCGGAACAUGUCCGUAAGUGGGGGAUAACGUAGAGACAUUUACGCUAAUACCGCAUAUUCCCUGAGGGGGAAAGGAGGGGAUCGCAAGACCUUUCGCUAACGGAGUGGCCGAUAUCGGAUUAGCUAGUAGGUGAGGUAAAGGCUCACCUAGGCGACGAUCCGUAGCGGGUCUGAGAGGAUGAUCCGCCACACUGGGACUGAGACACGGCCCAGACUCCUACGGGAGGCAGCAGUGGGGAAUUUUGGACAAUGGGCGAAAGCCUGAUCCAGCCAUACCGCGUGAGUGAAGAAGGCCUUCGGGUUGUAAAGCUCUUUCGGACAGAAAGAAAUCCUAUCCGCUAAUACCGGGUGGGGAUGACGGUACUGUAAGAAGAAGCACCGGCUAACUACGUGCCAGCCGCCGCCGUAAAAC
rnacentral:rRNA from 1 species